rnacentral:rRNA from 1 species
AUUGAACGCUGGCGGCAGGCCUAACACAUGCAAGUCGAGCGGUUGAAGGGAGCUUGCUCCUGGAUUCAGCGGCGGACGUGUGAGUAAUGCCUAGGAAUCUGCCUGGUAGUGGGGGAUAACGUCCGGUAACGGGCGCUAAUACCGCAUACGUCCUGAGGUAGAAAGUGGUGUAUCUUCGUACCUCACGCUAUCAGAUGAGCCUAGGUCGGAUUAGCUAGUUGGUGGGGUAAAGGCCUACCAAGGCGACGAUCCGUAACUGGUCUGAGAGGAUGAUCAGUCAAAUUGGAACUGAGACAAGGGCCAGAAUCAUAAGGGAGGCAGCAGUGGGGAAUAUUGGACAAUGGGCGAAAGACUGAUCCAGCAAUGCCGCGUGUGUGAAGAAGGUCUUCGGAUUGAAAAGCACUUUAAGUAGGGAGGAAGGGCAGUAAGUUAAUACCUUGCUGUUUUGACGUAACCAACAGAAUAAGCACCGGCUAACGUAGUG